rnacentral:rRNA from 1 species
GACGAACGCUGGCGGCGUGCUUAACACAUGCAAGUCGAACGGUAAGGCCCCAGCUUGCUGGGGUACACGAGUGGCGAACGGGUGAGUAACACGUGGGUGACCUGCCCUGAACUUGGGGAUAAGUUCGGGAAACUGGGUCUAAUACCGGAUAGGAGCGCCCGGUGGGGGGUGGGGGGAAGGUUUUUCGGUGUGGGAUGGGCCCGCGGCCUAUCAGCUUGUUGGUGGGGUAAGGGCCUACCAAGGCGGCGACGGGUAGCCGGCCUGAGAGGGUGGACGGCCACAUUGGGACUGAGACACGGCCCAGACUCCUACGGGAGGCAGCAGUGGGGAAUAUUGCACAAUGGGCGGAAGCCUGAUGCAGCGACGCCGCGUGGGGGAUGACGGCCUUCGGGUUGUAAACUCCUUUCACCAUCGACGAAGGUUUUCUGACGGUAGAUGGAGAAGAAGCACCGGCUAACUACGUG